AUUGAACGCUGGCGGCAGGCCUAACACAUGCAAGUCGAGCGGAGCGGCGGACGGGUGAGUAAUGUCUGGGAAACUGCCUGAUGGAGGGGGAUAACUACUGGAAACGGUAGCUAAUACCGCAUACUAUCAGAUGAGCCUAGGUCGGAUUAGCUAGUUGGUGGGGUAAAGGCCUACCAAGGCGACGAUCCCUAACUGGUCUGAGAGGAUGAACAGCCACACUUGAACUGAGACACGGUCCAGACUCCUACGGGAGGCAGCAGUGGGGAAUAUUGCACAAUGGGCGCAAUCCUGAUCCAGCCAUGCCGCGUGUGUGAAGAAGGCCUUCGGAUUGUAAAGCACUUUCAGCUGGGAGGCGUUACCCGCAGAAUAAGCACCGGCUAACUUCGUGCCAGCAGCCGCGGUAAUAC
rnacentral:rRNA from 1 species